GUUCCAUGUGAUGAGCAACAGAGGUUUCCUGCUAACAGCCACAUCAGGCCUUCAGAUGACCACAGCUCUGGCCAACAUCUGGGUUGCAACCUACGAGAGACACUGAGCCAGAGCCAUGCAGUCUAGGCUGCAGGGAGCAAGUGAAAGCAAGGAGACCAGUGGGGAGCCCAUGGAUGCCAUGCGGAUGAGAGGCUUUCUCUUGCUGUCUGUUCCAUCACUUGAUCUGGGGGAAGCCUGCUACUGGCAUGACACGAAGACAGUCAGGCAGCCCUAUGGAGAGACCUAGGUGGUGAGGAACUGAGUUCUUCUGCCAAAGAAGAACCAUGUGAAGGCACCACUGGAAGCCAUCCUCUGGUCCCAGUCAAGCUUUCAGAUAACUGCAGCUUUCCUUGACGUCUUGACUACAACCCGGAGAGACUGUGAGCCAGAGCCACCAGUAAGAAGCUCCAGAAUGUGGGACCCACAGCAACCGAG